rnacentral:lncRNA from 1 species
CUGGGGGACUUCUGGGCUUGGAGACUUUCUCUUCCCUAAGGAACUCUGGAUUUCUACAUCUAAUAUCUCUGCUUUGUUAUAUUACUUGUUAUAGAGGUCAUUACUUAGAGACCUGAAAUCACUUUUAAGACAUUUGAAUACACCAAAAGGUGAGCUAGUCCCCCAGAUGACACUGCGCUGGACAUGGUCCGUCAGGAACACUGCAGCUCUUGGGCUCACCCAGAAAGCUGCCAGGGCUGGAAUUAGCUCUUGUGAGAGCUACCCAGAAGUGGAGAGAUCCUUUUUGUCCUUCAGGGUUAAGUAACACAAGCUAAAGAGGUUGGAGGAAGGAACAAAAGUUCCUUUGCUCUUGCCAAAACAGGUGGAAGAACAAACAAAGCGAAUAACUGUAUAGUUACCUUUACGAUCUUUCUUUACAAAGGAAAUGGGAGUUUCAUUUCUUCCCUAAUUAAUACUUUUGACUAAAUUUCUCAUGUACAUAAAAUGUUGGACAGUAUGUCUUAGAGGAACGUUUGGCAGAUGGUUUCCUUGCUCCUCUGAGCAGCUGAUGUGUGACCACAGGUGACCGGUCACUCAAACACCAUGGCUUUGGUUCUGUUUGCUAACUGCCAAACCUGUCCUUUACGCAUCGCAUCCACCUGGAACUCACUGCUCUGCAGUGAAGGAUGGGAAAUUAAAUGUAUCAUUGAUACAGGCUCAAAUUUCAUGGGCCAUCAGUAGCCCUUGGUGCGUAGGGCUGCAUGUCUGAGGUUGUCAGUGAAGGGGCUGCUCACUGCAGGGAACAGGGAUCAGCCAUCCCUCCUUCUGCCAGGGGCUGUCUCCAGGCAGGAUUUUAUCUUAAGACACAAAGAAUUUAAUGUAACUUUUUCUCCCUCUUUUUUUUUCUUUUUUUUUUUUCUUUUCCUUUUGCUUCGGUUCCCAGUCUGGCACCAAAGCUGGAACAUCUACUGCUGGUAGAUGUAUGACAUCUACAGGGACAGCUUGUAGAAGACUAAUGACCGAAAAGCACAAGAUCUGCUGCUGCAGUGCUACGUUUAUAACAUUAUGUGAAGCUAUGCGAGGAAAUAAGUACCACAGCCAUCCUCCCACAGCCUGGCACAAAGUCCAUUAAGGAAUCCUGUUGGCUCUCCAGAGAACACUCAAAGCACAAGCACUAAGAUGCUGCUUUUAGAAAGAUAAUGGAUAACGAUGAAAUCAGUUUUUCAGAUGAGUCUUCUCUUUCCAUAGGGGCCGUCUUUAUGGUUUCAAUGAUGUAGAAUAAAAAGAAAG